rnacentral:lncRNA from 1 species
GGUUUUAAAGCUGAGAUAUAAAACAACCCAUUUUGCAGACGUUGUGGAAAGAAAUGUGAAGAGCUCUGGUGCAGUGCUUCAUCUUGGCAAGCGGUUUUGACAGUGAAUCAGCAGAGAUGACAUCAAAUAAAUCUGCUCGGACAGCAAUCUGUGUGGUGUCUUGUGCCGCUGCGGUGAUUCAGAUGUUGGCAGAUCUGUCUGAAGAAGGUGAAGCAUUCAUCCCAGCGCUUAAAGCGAGGCUGACAGGGCGUUUUCUCCACAGGUAGAAGGAAAUGCGAACAACAUGGAAAAUCAGCUGGAUGAAUGUCCGACUUGAUCCAACUCCAACGAGCCUGGGAGUGGCAUUCCUUGGCUCUGACCUUCCUCUGUCUAUCAAUAAAGUGACUCCUGGCCUUCAUCAGGAGGAUACACAAGUACAGUUAACACAUAAUUUCCUGCAGUAUAUGCAUGAUAAUACUGUGCAUAAUUACUAGGAAACCAGUGUUUUGGUAAAUGUUUUUAUUGCUUUUAAUUCCCUGUUUCCUCCUCCUCUAGAUCAAAAUGUCUUAGUGCACUCUUACCCACACCUUCCAGAUGUUGACUUGGACGUAUUGCUACAGAGGCUUGCAAGGGGCCUAGUGGGUCAGGGAAGUUUGGAAGACAUAAAGUAACUUUCAUCUUCAGAAAGUCAAAGAGUCCAUACCUUAAAACAAGUAGAGGCACAUGUUUAAUAAUAUCCUCUAUUUUAUUUUGAUAGGGUUCUGUUUACAUGAUGUGGUAUAUUCUAAUCAUACUAAAUCAUUUUUCAGACUAAAGGUGAACCUCAUGCUUUUCUAUAUGUAAACUGUAAUGUCUGGAGACAUCCUGCUUUAUAGAGGCCUAACUGUAAGACUUUACUGUGCAAACCCGACAUUUGAUAGAUUUUCUCACUUCCUGCAGACUCACCAUUGAUUACCGGGUGUGAGUUGGUUGUCUUUGUAUUUGCUGACACCAGUUGAGCUGCUCGCUCGUCCCACUGUUUACGAUUCGACCCACAUACGCUUGAUAAUCUCGCAUAAUUUGCAGUGAUGUAAGCCCUCACAGCGCUCACGUUAUCCGGCUCACAGCUGAUAGCUGCUGCCGCUGACUGAUGGGCCGUCCGCGUGGGGGGGAGCAGCGCAUGAUAAAGAACCCGACAGAGUUUUAAUUAAUGGUGCCGAUCCAAGGUCAAAGUCAUCAUGUCAGUGAGCUGUGCCCCCACGACUGAUUGAUCGCAUUCUACCCUCACACAGUCACGAGCACAGUCAGCUGACACAUUGACUGGAUCUGUGGCCUGUGCCAACACUCCAGAUCAUCCAUCUACUCAUUAUCUGUUUAUUCUUUAAUCAUUUAACCAUUCAUGUAUCUGUUGUUGAACCUAUUGCACCAUCUAUUAUUCAUCUACAGUAUAUUUCCUUUUACUAUUGUUAUUUAGUGAUGUAAUGAUCUGUGGAUCCCUCCAUCCAUCCAUCCAUUCAUCCAGCCAUGAACCCCUCAAUCCAUCUAUCUGUGAAUAUCUACUGUAUGUGUAUGUACGUGAAGUAUAUAAAGUAAAGUUAUGUGGUAGAUGUAUGUAUGCAUGUAUAUUCUGUAGAUAGAUAGAUAGAUAGAUAGAUAGAUAGAUAGAUAGAUAGAUAGAUAGAUAGAUAGAUAGAUAGAUAGAUAGAUAGAUAGAUAGAUAGACUCGCUACGCUGAUAGAUCGAUCGAUAGAUCGCUCGCUCGCUCGCUCGAGAGCUCGCUCGCUCGCUCGCUGCUCGCUCGCUCGCUCGCUCUCUCCUCGCGCGCUCGCUCGCUCGCUCGCUAGCUCGUCGCUCGCUCGCUCGCUCGCUAGAUAGAUAGAUAGAUAGAUAGAUAGAUAGAUAGAUAGAUAGAUAGAUAGAUAGAUAGAUAUUUCCCCUUUUUUUUGAUAGCAAUCAUAAGUGGGCAAAGGAAUUUCCCUCUGACAUAACUAAAGUUUUUUGAAUCUGGAAUCUAUCCAUCCAUCCAUUAUUCACCAUUUAAACAAUUAUGAGUUAACUCAACUCAGUAUUUUACUGAUUGUAAAACUGACCUUGUGAGUAACUUUACAGACAGGUUUGUCCACAGACAAGGGCAGUGGAGGUCUGAUUCCCUGUGUGGGUAAGCCUGGACCUUGGAUCAAAUCAUUAGGUGCAGAGAACCUGUGAUGAUGACCUGUCCACACACUUUAUCACUCUGACGCCACAUGGUUCCAGUGGGCCGUCAGGGUAGUGACCCAUGAAACAAUCUCCUAUUAGUCACAGUAAGACAACACACAGGGAGCACAGUGGACGAGAAAUGAAAGUAGCUGGAGGUCAGUUUAGCAGGCAGCAGUUAGUAGUUAUUGCUGUUUUAGAAAUAGGGUGAAGUAAUAACGUCUAUUUCUAUGCAAAGAGAUGUGGUGCAGUGUAAACCGCAGGAACCAUAGAGGACACAGCAAGGAAUGAAAGACACAUGUCAACCACCAGCACUAGCUCCUCAAAACAACAGCCCAAAGUCAGGCAGUCUGGUUAAUUGUCUGUGUUUCUAUACAUGUAUGUGUGAUGGACUGGUGACCUGUCCAGGCUGAACACACAGUAAAUGCACUGAUCAAUUUAAAGGGAAAUGACUACAUUAUUAUUUUUGGACCUAUAAUUACAAUAUUUUGAUGGAUUGAUUGAUUUCUUCACUAGUAUCUUAGAGGUGCUAAGAUCUAUUAAUAAUCAUGAUAAUAAUCAUAGAUAAGUUAAAGAAGUACAGUAGUACAGAUUUUUUGAGACUAAUGCACAUAGGAUACACAUUUUUGUGACAGACCUGACUGUAGAUAAUAAAUAUAAUUACGUAAUGUCCCUGCUGAGUCGU